GUGCUCUCUUUGGCAGCACAUAUACUAAAACUGGAAUGCCACAGAGAAGAUUAGCAUGGCCUUAGCGCAAGGAUGACACACAAAUUUG
rnacentral:snRNA from 1 species